rnacentral:rRNA from 1 species
UACGUAGGGGGCGAGCGUUGUCCGGAAUUAUUGGGCGUAAAGAGCGUGUAGGCUGUUCGGUAAGUCUGCCGUGAAAACCUGAGGCUCAACCUCGGGCGUGCGGUGGAUACUGUCAAGCUCGAGUCCGGAAGAGGCGAGUGGAAUUCCUGGUGUAGCGGUGAAAUGCGCAGAUAUCAGGAGGAACACCAAUGGCGAAGGCAGCUCGCUGGGACGGUACUGACGCUGAGACGCGAAAGCGUGGGGAGCGAACAGG